UACGUAGGGUGCGAGCGUUGUCCGGAAUUAUUGGGCGUAAAGGGCUCGUAGGCGGUUCGUCACGUCGGGAGUGAAAACUCGGGGCUUAACCCCGAGCCUGCUUCCGAUACGGGCAGACUAGAGGUAGGCAGGGGAGAGCGGAAUUCCUGGUGUAGCGGUGAAAUGCGCAGAUAUCAGGAAGAACACCAAUGGCGAAGGCAGCUCUCUGGGACGGUACUGACACUGAGGAGCGAAAGCGUGGGGAGCGAACAGG
rnacentral:rRNA from 1 species